CCCUAAUCCAAUAUAUAACUGCGGUCCUUUUAAAAAGGGGAAACUGGAACAGAUAAGAAUGCUGUGUGUGGACUGGAGUGAUGCUGGCAUGACCACCAGAAGCUGGGAGAGGGGCCUGGGCCAGACCGUCCCCCAGUGUUUCAGAGGGUGGCUGAGUUUCUUGCAUUGUGAGGACAGAUGAGGACUCCAUCCGGGAAGCUGGAAAGCCAGGAGCAGAUACAGUUUAUACAACUUAACAAUAAAAGUCAUUUGUUU
rnacentral:lncRNA from 1 species